AUCAGUCUUCCCACUGUGCCUCCUGCAAGCACAAGCAGGAUGAAAACAGGAUUCAGGAUGAAAAUAGGCCUGAUCUGGCUCAUUGAAUUGUGCUUGUGUGGGCUGGGACAGGAAUUGGAGGCUAGAGGCAGAGGAGUCGACAGAAGCAGCUUGUGGUAGCACUGCCGUUGAUGGAAAUAUCUGUGACUGGAGUCCUGGUUAUCAGCUGCAUGGGACAGUGUGUCAGCAUCAACUCCAUUUCCUGGUGCUCCAUGUGGCCAAAGAACAAACCUGAAGCAACUUCUCAAGGGCACGCAGCAACUGGUGGAAGAGCUCUGCAGUUGGAUGUCAGAUUUGUUUACCUUAGGCAUCUUCCAUCUUCGCCACCACUGCUGAAUCAGUCUUCCUUUAUGAAGCACGAUGUCCCCUUUGCAGUAGGCUGGAAAUGUGAGACGUGCUUAGGAGCAGUGCCUGGCCUGGGAAAAAGAAAUGCACCCCUCCCACCUAAGUACCACUGCAGUCCAGAUCCAGUAGAUGCACACAGCUUCACAUUUGCUGCUCUCGCUUACUGAUCUGGCCAUUCUCAAGGAAGUUCUCAUCCAGGAGUCACGAAGUUGCAAUGCAGAGAUAAGUGUCAGUACCUUCAAUUUUACAGAUCAGAAAACUGCAACACAGAAAUGUAAAAUGAGUCACUCCAGAUGUAGUUUUCUCAUGGUGUUCUCAUUUAUAAAGCUCAGGACUGGUCCACACUAGUGUUUUAUCUGAUUUACCUGGUUUUUCUGUCCCUCUGGGGAACGUAUCUUUGACCACAGUCAGUAUAUAUCCUGCGACAGAGUCUGAUUAGAUUUGCAUAGUGGGGAGAUAAAACCAGUGAGUGUGUAAGUGCUGAAGUGCAGCUCUUCAUCACAAUUGGCAAUAGUGCUGUUAGUUUAGUUCACCCUGGAAGAUGGUCUGAUCCUUACUAGAUUUAUCACUGGCAAAGAUGUGAUUGCUGAUCCCACUGCAGAUUUGUUUUUAAAUUAUUACUUUGCUUAAAGGCACAAUGUGUCUCAGUACUUUCUGUUAUAAUUGUAAAUACCAUUUUUUUUCUCAAAGACCCAGUGGAAUUUUUUCAUAGACGUUUCUGAAGCCAUUAGAAUCGAGGAGCCCCUGCUGGCACAGAGUAUCAAUAAUUGUUUCAAAACCUUCUUCUUAGUCACUUUGCAAAGACUGUUUCUCUAUAUCUUGUACAAUUGCAAAUAUUGUAGAACAUUUAAUUCUGUAUGGUCUUCCAACUUAGAUGUUAUCAAAAUGAAUAGAAAAACUGAAGUUCAGUUCGUGUUACAGAUAAAAGUGAAGAACAUAUGGUUUUCAAAAAGGACAUAUGGAUACAAAUGUACGUAUUUAUACAAACAUGUUCCGAUUAGCUCAGACUUUUCCUUUCUUUCUCUUGUGAUCAAAAUGUGAUAAGGCACAUAGGAUAGUGUAGUCCCUACAGGACCAGAUCUGAGCCUUGCAAAAGACAUUAGAAAGACUUCCAGUGAUUCCUCUGAACCUCAGACCAGAUCUUUGUUGUUGGAUAAACAUUAGUGAACAAUUUAGACUAGCUUCAUGCAAAACCUGUGUAUAUAAUGAAGAUGCAGAGUAUUUUAAAUGCAAUGUCAAUUCUAUUUUGAAUGUGUACUUCCACUACAUGACUAAAUAUAUAAAUUAACCUAUGCAAAAUAAGCUUAACAAAAUACAGGUAAAAAACAACCUGGAGAGUAAAUUUAUAGAGAUGACAACAUGAACACAGGUAUUUGCUAUGGAAAUACAGGUUGAUUAUUAAGUUAUCCCGAUUCACUUCUUAGAGAAAUCAAUAGAAGAUUCACUCUGUUUUAAUGGGAACAGCACUAGCCACCUUGUAUACCAGAUUGAGAUCUUCAGCGCAACAUGUAAGGAAAUAAGUCGGUUAGUAAAUAAGUGUCCAUAGAUUUACACCAGCUAUGUAAGUGAGGAUCUAUUCCUACAGCAUCUGUCUUUAGAAUCAUAUAUUCAGACAACUCAAGGGUUUAGCCAUUUGAAUUUCCAAAUUUUGCAAAGAUGAGUAGUGUUCUAGUAUCAGGCUGUAAACAUCGUUUGUGUUUGUCUUGUACUGCUUGUGUUUUUGAGAGAGAUCAUUUUUAUACUUCAAUAAAGAACAGUGAGCUCCCUGAGACA
rnacentral:lncRNA from 1 species